rnacentral:rRNA from 1 species
AUUGAACGCUGGCGGCAGGCCUAACACAUGCAAGUCGAACGGCAGCACAGAAGAGCUUGCUCUUUGGGUGGCGAGUGGCGGACGGGUGAGUAAUGUCUGGGAAACUGCCCGAUGGAGGGGGAUAAUUACUGGAAACGGUAGCUAAUACCGCAUAACGUCGCAAGACCAAAGUGGGGGACCUUCGGGCCUCACACCAUCGGAUGUGCCCAGAUGGGAUUAGCUAGUAGGUGGGGUAAUGGCUCACCUAGGCGACGAUCCCUAGCUGGUCUGAGAGGAUGAGCAGCCACACUGGAACUGAGACACGGUCCAGACUCCUACGGGAGGCAGCAGUGGGGAAUAUUGCACAAUGGGCGCAAGCCUGAUGCAGCCAUGCCGCGUGUAUGAAGAAGGCCUUCGGGUUGUAAAGUACUUUCAGCGGGGAGGAAGGCGGUGAGGUUAAUAACCUUGCCGAUUGACGUUACCCGCAGAAGAAGCACCGGCUAACUCCGUGCCAGCCGCCGCGGUAA